rnacentral:rRNA from 1 species
GAAUGCGAUCAUACCAGCACUAAAGCAUCGGAUCCCAUCAGAACUCCGAAGUUAAGAAUGCUUGGGCGAGAGUAGUACUAGGAAUCAGAACUCCGAAGUUAAGAAUGCUUGGGCGAGAGUAGUACUAGGAUGGGUGACCUCCUGGGAAGUCCUCGUGUUGCAUUCU